GGAGAACCUACACUCAAGUCCUGAAGGCUCUUCUCAUUUCUUACUCCUGCAACGCGCCCGUUGACACCAACAGACACAAUGGUGGUAAGCUGAAGAUCUGCAUUCAUGAAAGAACUAAAAUCACAAGAUGAAGAGAUAUUGCACGGGAGACAGAGAGAGAAAGAGAUGGACUAACUAAAGUCGUACUUAGAGGCCCGCAUCCAAGCAUGGAGCACUGUUGUACCAAACACUGUACAUGGAGCUGGAAGCAGUACCCUGCCCAAAGAGCUUAGAAUCUAAACAGAACAGGACACAGUAUUCCAGCAAUGGCCAGCCACAGGAUACAUUUGUGGCUUUGUAUGCAGAAAUGCUGCCCAGAAAAAGAAGGAUCAAGCCAAUUAACACUCCACAAUCAAGGGUCAACAACUGAAAAAACAGAUCCAUGGUCAAGACCACCAGCAUUUCUCUGAUCAUUGUUAUCCUGUUGAUGAAUAGUGUACUGGGAGAAAGAGGACUCUCCAAAUCAAUUCCAAGUUUAAAUAAAACAUAAGGAUCUUGCACA